GCGGGAGUGGCUCAGGGGUAGAGCGUCUCCUUGCCAAGGAGAAGGUCGAGGGUUCAAAUCCCUUCUCCCGCUCCA
rnacentral:tRNA from 2 species